rnacentral:rRNA from 1 species
UACGUAGGUGGCGAGCGUUGUCCGGAUUUACUGGGCGUAAAGAGCGCGCAGGCGGUCAAGUCAGUCGAAUGUGAAAGCCCCGGCUCAACUGGGGAGGUCAUUCGAUACUGCUCGACUUGAAGGCAGGAGAGGGAAGUGGAAUUCCCGGUGUAGUGGUGAAAUGCGUAGAUAUCGGGAGGAACACCAGUGGCGAAGGCGACUUCUGGCCUGUUCUUGACGCUGAGGCGCGAAAGCUGA